CCUGCUGCAGCGCCCACGGAGAGGAGUCCGGAUGCCGGGAAGGCCUAGGUUAGCGGGGCCCCGGAGCCUAAGACGCCGGACGCACCGUCGGGCCACAAAGCAAGGUGCACAGGGAACGGAUGGCUAGAUGGCUAGGUGUGGCGCCGCUCAUCUCGGUCAACAGCCUGGACAAUGCACAGCACAGCCACUGGUGCUCUUGGAUGUCUGCGGCUCCCUAUGGAAGCAGAAACGCUGCAGGAUGCCCGGCGGCCUCCCAUUCGGGUCUGGGCAGCGCUGUGGUGUGGGAUGCUGCACUGCCCAGGCCUCGUGCAUCUGGAUUUCCUUCUGCCUUUUCCUUCAGCCUCAGAGGCAGCAGGAUAUGGAGAGUGACUAAACCACGUCCACUCCACUUUUCGGUGACUCAGGCUUUUUUUUUAAUUGAGGUAUAAUUAACAUAUAACAUAUUAGUUUCAUAUGUGCAACAUAAUCUUUCGAUAUUUGUCUAUAUUGCAAAAUGAUGAGCACAGGAAGUCUAGUUACAUUCAUCACCACACAUGGUUACAAAUUUUUUUCUCUUGUGAUGAGAACUUUUAAGAUCUACUCUCUUAGCAACUUUCAAAUAUACAAUACAGUAUUGUUAACUAUAGUCACCUUGCUGUGCAUUAAAUCCCCAGGACUUAUA